rnacentral:rRNA from 1 species
AGCUCUGUAAGCGUAUACCAAAGUUGUUGCAGUUAAAACGCUCGUAGUCGGAACUUGGCCGUUCCGGAAGUGAGCACGUCGUGUGCGCGCUUUGCGGGGACGGCUUUUGUGGUGUGCGUAGGAUGAGGUACUUUUAUUAGUAAACGUCUUCACGCAGCCACUGUUUACUGUGAGAAAAUCAGAGUGCUCAAAGCAGGCAUUUGCCGUGAAUGUAUUAGCAUGGAAUAAUAGAAUAGGACUCGGUUCUAUUUUGUUGGUUUGUUAGGGCUGAGUAAUGAUUAAGAGGGACAGUUGGGGGCAUUUGUAUUUCGGCGCUAGAGGUGAAAUUCUUAGAUUGCCGAAAGACAAACUGCUGCGAAAGCGUCUGCCAAGGAUGUUUUCA